GGAGAGGUCGCAUAGUGGACUAGUGCGGCGGUCUUGAAAACCGCUAAGGGCGCAAGCUCUUCGUGGGUUCGAAUCCCACCCUCUCCGCCA
rnacentral:tRNA from 1 species